CCAAGUUCAUGGCAGCACCAGGUGGAGGAUCAAUUUGCAAGAGCAGCAGCAAGUACUAUACCAUUGGUGGCAUUGAGAUCAAUGAAGAGCAAAUUAAAGCUGGCAAAGAAAGGGCCUCUGGAAUGUACAAGGCUGUUGAAGCUUACCUCUUGGCAAAUCCUGAUCUCUACAACUAGGUUGCUACUGCUUGAUAUGUCAUUCGUGUCAUCUCAGUUUUAAUGGUUUGAUUUUGAUAUUUCUUUCUCUCUUGGCCAAAAUUGCCAUUGGUUGUUUAAUAAGAGUGGUAGUCUCUGGCUGUGAUCAUCUGUAUUUCAUUAUAAUUAAAGAGUUUGAGUUGUAUUAUCUUUGAUAUACGAAAUAAAAUCAAGGUUUGGGUUCAUUUACAAUAUUAAUUGGUAUUUAUUUUGCAUUUUUUUAUUUCAUAAAUCUUUUGAGUUCAAUUAGGAGUGAUGGAAUCCAAAUCCUCCUAUUGCCUAUACAUCAACCUUAAGUCAGAUAGAGAAUUGAAUCCGAAGCUUAAUUCAAGUGGUUCAUAGCUAUCCUUUAAAAUGUGGCAUCGAACAGACAUACGAUUCAAAUUCCAGCAUAUAUAAUUCUUUCUUUAUCUUUGACUACAACCUUCUUUAUAAAAAAAAAAUGAAAAAUUAGAUAAAAAAUUUGACAUUUGUUGUCCAAAAUUUCCACUUAAUAACUGAUAUGGGCAGUGAUACUAAGUCUACAACAAUCUUUGACAGCAUUACUCAAUAGAAAUAGGCAAAGAGUUGGUGAAUUAAAAAAUAACAUAUAAGGAGAAUAUUUAUGUCACUACCAUUGGUUCACCUGUCAACAGUGAGAGGAGAUAUAUGCUAAAGAAACAGGGUCUUUGGUUCACCUGUGGCCAAAAGCUAUGAGUUGAAGGUUAUUAGGUGGAAAUUUUACCACAUAGCUACGAGUUCCUAAUAGUCCAAGCACUUGAAUUCAAGCUCUUCUUCUGUACUUAAAAUACUAGAGUUCUUUCCUUUUAAUCUUCUUCUGAUAUUGACUGCUUCCAAGAUCCAUAAAUUUGUUCUUUAUAGCAAGCUUGUGUUUUGCAUUUCGAAGAAUAUGUAAGGUAGGUACACAAACCAGAAUCAAUCGCAAGUUUUAUUAGGUGAUUUCUGGACUAAAUUGCAAAACCAGGAAAGUUAUUCUUCAUUCUGACUCUAUAAAUACUACAGCUUCAGCUUCUCAUCUCACGCCUCACAUAUCUCAAUCAAUUCUAUUUUCAUUCAUCUGAUCAUUUCCAAAAUCAGUAGUAAUCAUGGGCGUUUUCACUUACGAAUCUGAGGUUGUUAUUGCAAUCUCACCAGCCAAGAUGUUUAAGGCUUGUAUCAUUGAUGGUGACAAGCUCAUUCCCAAGAUUGUUCCUCAGGCUUUUAAGAGCGUUGAGUACAUUGAAGGCAAUGGUGAGCCCGGCAGCAUCAAGAAAGUUACUUUUGGAGAAGGUUAGUUAAUUUAUAUAUGCAACUAAAUACAUUUUUUUGGUACAAAGACAUCAGCCUGGGGAUAGGGUAAAGGAUUGCACUUGCAGUGCUGGGAUUUGAGCUCCUGCUGAGCUAAUCUCCGAUUCAACUAAGUACUUUGAAUAAUAUAUUGAAUUAGAACUUAGAAGUGCUGUUACUAAGAAGUAAUAACUACUCUAUAUUUGCUUUUCCAAAUACAGGAAGUCAAUUCAAUUACGUGAAGCAGAAGGUAGAAGCACUAGACAAAGAAAAUUUUGCGUAUAGUUAUAGUGUGAUCGAAGGCGACGCUUUGAUGAACACACUUGAGAAAAUCGCUUAUCAGACAAAGUUAGAGGCCUCUGCGGCUGGGGGAUCGAUAUGUAAGACUAUUAGUAAGUAUUAUACCAUAGGUGACUUUGAGCUCAAGGAGGAGGAAAUCAAGGCAGGCAAAGAAAAGGCUUUGGGAAUGUUCAGGGCUGUUGAAGCCUACCUCCUAUCAAAUCCUGAUGCCUACUAAAAACCCCAAUAGCAAUAUCCACUUCAAUGAUCAUACAAUGUGGAAUGAAUAUGUGCUUGAUUGAGAGAAUUUCCUUUUUUUUUUUCCUUUUAUUUUUGCAGUUGUUGGUCCAUAUGACCUUCAGAUUGGUAAUAAGAGUUCAUAGUUUGUCUGGGAAGCUUGAACUGUAACAAAUAAAGGAGCAUGGAAAUGGAAUUUGUUUACUAAAAAUUGUUGUGUGAUCAAGCUAUUGAUUGAAAAUGAUGAGUGCAUUAUCUUCAUCUUUCAAGAUUUGCUAAUUAUAUAUUGAACAUAAGAAAGUCAAGUUUCAGAAGAAAUGUAAUGCAAUUUGUAAGACAGAUUUGUUGAGGAAAUCUAAAUCCAUAAUUUUGACAUUGGAUGGAGGAAAGGGUUAUGGUGGAAUUUAGGGUCAUUGAGAUGAUGAUUUCCACUAGCAUUUUCCAAAAGGAUGCUUACAUAGCAGGUUCAGACAAUAUAGAUAAAUUUUUUUUUUUUUUGGUUUUUUUAAUGAAAUAAUAUUUGGGAAUAUUUCAAACCCCAAGAAUCGUGAAAAGGGUAGAUAAAGAAAAAUUCACUCUAACAACGACAAAUGGAGUACUCAAGAUGUUCUAAGUACCCACGGUGAAGUUCAAGGGUGACUUUUGGCGAAAAACAGGGGGCUAAUUGUUGAAGAAAAAUUAGAAGUUGUAUUAAUUUAGUUAGUGUAAAAGAAGCAUUUGAGAAAAGAAAAGUCUCAAAAUUUCACCUUUGGUUUAUCUUACAUGAACAUAACCAUGUUAAAGCUAGGCAUAGAAACAUUGAUCAAGAUUGGCUGAGGAUCCUGACUGGGGGAGAACUGGAAAGGGGGACAGAAUUGCUGUUGCUGCGAGAAAUUAUGUAACUUGUUCUAUUCUAACUCCUUCUAAAGUCGUUUCAUGUUAUUUUGUUGCCUUGCUGCAACAUGUUUUACUCCGGGGAAAAUGAAAAAACAAUUACCAACAAAUAUAUUCUCAUACUAAAUUUUUCUUGCAUCAUUAUCGUUUCAACCAUGUUUGACCUGUGACAUAUAUAGGAUGAGAUUUAUAAAUUGGCAAGAAUCUAAUCGAUUAGAAUGUCAACAGAAAGUAGCUAUAGUUAGUUUCACAUAAUCCAAGCACUUGAAUUCAAGGUUUAUUAGGCCAUUACAAUGUCAACGUGACCGUUUGCUAUCAUUGUUUUCACUUGAAUUUUCAUUUUUAGCUUCCCUCAAUGUUCCCUGAAGUUUUAUCUUGAUGUUAUACAGCUUGAAGGGGAAAAACAUGUUGGAAAACAAGGCAAACCCAACUAUAAACAAGUAAACUGGCUUGCCUCGGAAACGACUCUACUGAUCACGAGCACACAGCAACCCUCUAAGUGACUCCCAUUUCCCUGUUCCUCUUUUCCCCAGCCAUGUUGACUAUUCACUUCAUUACCCUCAAUUAUUCCCCUUGUCUGAUCAGAUUGAUAGUUAAAAAAAGACCCAGUUUGCGGAUGUUGGUUGUGGUUUUGGUGGCGUUAUAAUACGUCUUUCAACUCUUUUCCCUCAGACUCUAAUGAUUGGGAUGGAGCUCAGGGAUAAAGUGAGUAUGUGAAGGAAAGAAUAUCUCUGUUGUUCGGGCUAAUUCGAUGAAAUACAUUCCCAACUACUUUCAAAGAUGUUUUUCUUAUUUCCUGAUCCUCACUUCAAAGAGAAAAACCAUCUUCAUAGGGUAAUCAGUGCUCACUUGUUAGAUGAGUAUGCUUAUGUUCUUCAGGUUGGUGGGAUUAUAUACACAAUUACAUUUGUGGAAGAACUUGGAGAAUGGAUGAAGUCUUGUUUAGAGAAUCAUCCCAUGUUAGAAGCCCUCUCAGGGAAAGAGCAUGAUGCUGAUCCUGUAGUAAAACUCUAGUCCUGCAACUGAGACAAAAAGUUGCUAGGAAUGGGGACAGACUUUUCAAGCAGUAACAGACGAAUUGCGCUGGAUUCAUGAGAGAACAGUUUGUCUGCUCAGGCUUCAUUGAGCCAAAGGAUAAAUUGUCUGGUUUAGUAAUACGUUUAGUGCGGUUACUUUCUUCUUCAUCUAUUCAUGAGGAUCAUUGUCUUCGAAAUACUUGUAACGCUAUUAUUAAGAAGAGUAAAAAAAAAAGCAAAAAGCAAAACAUGGAGGUAUAGCAUAUUUUAGCGUUUUGUAUCUUUAACCAUGCAGUGUUGCUAAACAAUUCAUAAUAUGAAUCUUAAAUCAAGAUUUUCAUGAAGGAUUUUGUGAUUAUAAUCAAAUCACGUUGAGAUUUUGUAAUAACUUUCAGAAAAUCAAGUUUUGUCGGGAUCAAAACUCUUUGUCUUUAAGACCAAGUAUGAACAAGGCAAUAGGCAUAUCACAUACCGUUCUUGAAUGAAAUGCAAGUCAUCCUACAGUCAUCCAAGACAAAACAUAAAAAAUCAAAGUAAACUCUAUUUGAUUUUGAAAAAAUAUGUAGUAUGUUUCAUAUUUAAAUUUGGCAUAUGUUGACAUUGAAUUUUUCUCAGGAAUAGCCUCUUUCAGUAAGAUACUUGCUUUCUAGAUGGUCCAACUCCUCUUAAGAAUUUACAGUCUGUUCAGAUGCCCAAAGGCCCUUGUUCAAAUGUAAUUAUUUCAUGAUUCUACCUUUUUUUUUUCUUCUAGGUGUCUAUAAACCAUUAAAUAUCAUAAAUGGUAAAUCUUCGAUUGUUUAUUUGUUUACUGUUGUGUACGGAAAAGUACUUGUUAAUAUUUAAUAUCCAAUAAAUUAAUAAAAAAUGAAGUUCCUUGACAGCAAAAUUUGAUUAUUUAUUCCCGAUGAUAUUCUUUCCUAGUAUAUAUAUGUAAGAAUUUUCAAUAAAUAUCAAGAAAAAAAAAUGUAGCAGAAGUUGGUACAAAACGUUUAAAAUAAUUAAUUGGAGAUUGACCAUGAAAUUUUCAUGCAGGGUGCUUUCUUUGACUACUGCAAUUUCUUUGUGACUGGAUCUAUCCAAUUAAAAAAUUGAAGAAAUUAAAUAGUUAAGCUUCAAGGUCAGUCUAUAAAUAUCAUCUUAAUUCUCACUUGUUUCCACACCUCAAACACUUAGUUAAAUCAUCUUUUUCCCUCUGUUUAUCUUCAUUAAAUUUGAAUCAUGGGUGUUUUCACUUAUGAAAUGGAGGUUGCUACCUCAAUCCCCCCAGCCAAGAUGUUCAAGGCCUUUGUUCUUGAUGCUGACAACCUUUUCCCCAAGGUUGUGCCACAGGCAAUCAAGAGCUCUGAGCUUCUUGAAGGAGAUGGUGGCCCUGGAAGUAUCAAGAAGAUCACCUUUGGUGAAGGUUAGUUUUCAUUUCUUGCCACUUAAAAUUCCUUUCCAUUUUCUUUUGGGAAAUAUAGCAGUAUGUAACUUAUUUGAUUGGUAACAAAUGUAGGCAGCCAAUUCAAGUAUGUGAAACACAAGGUUGAAGGAAUAGACAAAGAGAAUUUCUCAUACUGUUACAGUAUAAUCGAAGGCGAUGUUUUGAUGAACACAUUUGAGACAAUCAGUUAUGAGACCAAGUUCAUGGCAGCACCAGGUGGAGGAUCAAUUUGCAAGAGCAGCAGCAAGUACUAUACCAUUAGUGACAUUGAGAUCAAUGAAGAGCAAAUUAAGGCUGGCAAAGAAAGGGCCUCGGGAAUGUACAAGGCUGUCGAAGCUUACCUCUUGGCAAAUCCUGAUCUCUACGACUAGGUUGCCACUGCUUGAUAUGACCUUC
rnacentral:lncRNA from 1 species